rnacentral:misc_RNA from 1 species
AGAUGGAUCAUUCAUGUUCGUGUGAAAAACUUGUUGGCCAGUGUCUAAGUCGAAUGAAAUAUUUUAGCUUCCAUUAUUUAAUGAAAGUUACCAAAUGAAAAACAACUUUUAGCGAUGGAUGUCUUGGGUCUCUUUGCGAUUAAGAUCGUAGCUGUAUGCGAUAAGUAAUAUGACUUGUAGUUUUUAGAGAAUAAUUAAAUUUUUGAAUGCGAAAUGUACCUAUAAAACAUUUUAUAGGUGUGUCCAGCUCAGCGCCUUGAUUUAGUUUAACUACCAUAUAUAAGUGUGGUGGUGUGGUGAUCCGCUGAUUGAUUGGUGGAUUAUUGGUGCAAUUUAAGUAUUUUUAUUUGGAAGUAAAAGCUUAAAUUAAACGUAUUUACAUACAAUGGCCUGAGCUUGGUCAAGGCAACCGACUGAAUUUAAGCAUAUUAAUAAGUCGUGGAAUAGAAAUUAAUGAAGAUAUCCUUAGUAACGGCGAGUGAAAAGGGUAGCGCUCAGACUGAAAAUUGGCAAUUUUAUUGUUGAAUUGUAGCCUUAUGAAGUGCAACUUUGGGAUUGCUUAAGAUAGUUCUUUUGGAAAGGAGAGCAGUGUAGGGUGAGAGUCCCGUGUUUGCUUAAGAUAAUUCUUGUUUGGCGCACUAUUAAUGAGUCGCGUUCCUUGAGAGUGGAAUGUAAAUGUGGUGGUAAACUUCAUCUAAAGCUAAAUAUUCUGAGGCCCUGAUAGUCUAUAAGUACCGUGAGGGAAAGAUGAAAAGAACUUUGAAAAGGGAGUUAAAAGUCACUAAAAUUGCUAAGAGGGAAGUGAAGGAAAUCAGCUAUUCAGUAGGACUUUGUUUUCCCAAUUUAAAAUUGGUGAAAAUAUAAAGUGUCUAUUGUAUUGUUGGAAAUAGUUGUAAUGUGAGAUGUGUGAUUUAACAUAGUUUUUUAUUAAGCUUGUUGUUUCACAUUGGCCAGCAUUGAUAAUUAAUAAUUAAGUAUGAUUGCUUUGUUCAAUCUUACUUAGUUCCAGUGAUGAUUUUCUCUGUCCCGUCUUGAAACACGGACCAAGGAGUCUAACUUAUAUACGAGUAUUCGGAUUAUAAGUCCACGUGCAGAAUAAAGGUGACUAUUGGUUUCUGUUUGUUCUGAUACCCGGUUAUGUAACUGAGGUAGAGUAUAUAGGUUAGUACCCGAAAGAUGGUGAACUAUGCCGGGGUAGGGUGAGGCCAGAGGAAACUCUGGUGGAGGCUCGUAGCGAUACUGACGUGCAAAUCGUUCGUCAAACUUUGGUAUAGGGGCGAAAGACUAAUCGAACUAUCUAGUAGCUGGUUCCUUC